UCCCUGGAGGACUAGUGGUUAGGCCACAGCCCUCUCAUCGCUACGGCCCGGGUUCGCUUCCAUGCCAGGGAA